CCAAAAUGUUGUUAUUUUGCCAGCAAUUUGAAAAUCAUGUGCUAGCUUUCGAGCGUUAGUUAUAUGUACGAUCGACGUUGAAGCGAUCUUAAAAGAACCCUCAUUUUUUUAUAUUCUUUUCAACUGACGUCAGAUUCAUUAUAUGCCCAAUUAUUCAGGGAGGCUUUUUGCUGCCUAGUGCACAUUCUGACCGCACCUAGCCCACACAUAGCUUUCCAACUUCAUUAUAGUGAGUGCUGAGCGUGUCCUUCAUAGGGGUCUCGCGUUCUGAUGUUUAAGAACGCUAAUAUGUUUUCUGGUUUUGGAUAGCAGAUUCUACAACAGCAUACCAAAUAAACGUUCAGCGUCAAAGCAGACCCUGGAGGGUUCUUUAAGGGAGAAAACAUCUGUAGAAAGUUGUAUUCAACAAACUUCUACUCGAUUAAUGAACUUUAAGAAACUUUGUCGGUUGAGGUAAUAUCCAGUGAACUUCAAACAGUACCUGUAGGAGUCUUUAAGAAACGGAGCAACCCUGAGAGGCGAUUUUUCGUAACUCGAAUGGUUCAGUGGGGAAAGUCAUCCAUCAUGCGAAAAGCGUGCUGAAGGACAGGACUCAUCCGUCAACUCUAGCUGCUACAGCGAGCGUUCCACUAAACCGAGUACGAUUUUAUUCCUUAAACUUAGAGGCUUCAUAUAGCGCUGCAAGGAAAGCAAAUUAAAUACCUAUUACAAAAUUCAUCUGCUACCGCCAGUUCUCUAUGGGAUGGCCCCCAGGGACAGCGUACGGCCUUUCGGGACGAGGCGUCAUCUCUAGCUUUCAGGAAAGCGGAGGAUCCACUUUUCGCCUAGAUGGCUUAAUGCAGCCGUUCGUGCCACUGAAUAGAGGAGAAUAUUAUAGGCGGAUGAUUUUCGGAACCUUCACUUCAGUCGAACUCAACGUCGACGACUGGACCUUAUUCUGCCGAAGCUAUGAUCGACUAAUUGCUCACCUAUCGUUUUACCAAGAGCACUCUAAUAUUCAAGCAUAUAUAAAAGUAUUUAUGAGAGGAAAAUAGAUCAGAGUUAUUCCUCAGAACAAAUCGCCAGGGCAAUCGGACGGACACAUUUGAAUAGCCCGCGGCUAAUCAAGCUGCUAUGUGUACAAUUACCGACAAACAGAACGACGAUGACAGCCGGUGCCAUGGAGCGGAUUUGUUGGCGGACAGAUCACACAUGCGGAAAACAACCUGCAUGAGUCUAUAGAGAUGUGAAAAUGGCAAAAAAAUACUGGUGAAUUUCGCUUAGGCCAGACAGGUCGAGCUGUCUAUAGACAGCAAAUCGUAGUGUGGAAACGGCAACGAUACUACAAUGGGAAACUACA